rnacentral:lncRNA from 1 species
UGUAUCCGAAGGAGCCAAUGGACUGCUACAGUUGGAAGUGGCACUAAGUAUCGGUGAGUAUACUUAGCUUGGUGUUCUAUGGCUGUGGCAUAUUAUUAUCAUCCGUAGGUUAUGGGUCGGCCGUGGUGACCGAUUGGAAAGUUGGGGUAAUGUCAUUAUAUUAUUCCACUCAGCUAAUUAAUUUAAUUGAUAUUUUCAAAUAAAUAAAUAAAAUGAGGGCUAAAAAUAUUUGGUAUUGCACAAUGGAAGAUGAAAUAAGUAGUAGUAGUAGUCUCCAAAAAUGCAUUGCCCUUCUAAGAAGGGAGAGGAAUACAGAGGAGCAAAAUUAAAUUGGUCUGAAAAUCUAAUUAAACCCUUUUUUCUUUUCUCGAUCAUUUUUUAUAAUUAUUUAUACAAUUUGGUUUUUCUAUUCCUUUCGAUAAUCUCCCGAUUUGUCUAGUUAUUAGUGUGAUUUUUUUUUCGAUCCAUUUCGACAAUCUUUUCUUUUUUUGAUUUUGAUUCUUCAUGUUCAUGUGUGCAAGAGAAUGAAGCAAUUUUCUCGAGUAGCACGUUUAAGACUUAAAUGAUUUUAUGGGCCUUUCAAAAUUUAUUUCGAACUCUCUAUUUAAUUUAUUUUAUUUUUUUAAAAAAAAUAUAUGUUUUAGUUAUAAUUAGAGGAUUAUUAUUAUUAUUAUUAUUAUUAUUAUUAUUAUUAUUAUUAUUAUUAUUAUUUAUUCCUGUUCUAAUCGAUCUCUUAUACUCAUCAGGAACGUGCGGUGAUGUUUCCCGGAGUAAGCAGAAGGGACCCGUUUCUUGGUCUUGUUUGACUCAGGUUAGGGAGGGAAAUGGAGAUGUCACCAACCCGCCCACGGAAUAACCCUUCGGGUUGUACCAUCACAUCCCAACUUUACACCUUUGACAUGCCAACGUGAUGAUGCACCAUCGCACCUCUGUCCCAUGAAAUCUACCUCCAUUGCUGUGGCAGAUGCUCACCGGCUUAGCGUGCAUAGUCUAUUUGCAGAAGACAAAUAGUUUCCGUCUGUAAACGCAUGCACUCAUGCAUUAAUCCUUUCUGCUGCUUCCCUGUCACGUGGAACAGCUCCCUGUCGGUCUUGAUGGACGAAGACACGAUUCAAUAUUAGCUUAAGGUGAGCCAUCAGUCUCACCUGUUUCUUUCA